UGGGCCGCACGCGCGCUACACUGAUGAAGUCAGCGAGUUUAUAACCUUGGCCGGAAGGUCUGGGUAAACUUUUGAAACUUCAUCGUGCUGGGGAUAGAGCAUUGUAAUUAUUGCUCUUCAACGAGGAAUUCCUAGUAAGCGCAAGUCAUCAGCUUGCGUUGAUUACGUCCCUGCCCUUUGUACACACCGCCCGUCGCUACUACCGAUUGAAUGGUUAUAGUGAGCAUAUGGGAUCAGUAGGAUUAAACUGGCAACAGUUUUUCCCUGCAGAGAACUAUGGCAAACUAGGCUAUUUAGAGGAAGUAAAAGUCGUAACAAGGUUUCCGUAGGUGAACCUGCGGAAGGAUCAUUAAAUAAUUUGAGUAUGCUUAUGCAUAUUUCUAAUUUACUGUGAACUGUUUUACUGUUUAGCGUUUUGAGGGAUGCCUAGAGACUAUAGGGAUAGGUCUUUAGGAUGUUAACCUAGCUAAAGUCAGGCUUAGGCCUGGUAUCCUAAUUCAUUAUUUACCAAAAGAAUUCAGAAUUAAUAUUGUAACAUAAGCGUAAAAAACUUAUAAAACAACUUUUAACAACGGAUCUCUUGGUUCUCGCAUCGAUGAAGAACGUAGCAAAGUGCGAUAACUAGUGUGAAUUGCAUAUUCAGUGAAUCAUCGAGUCUUUGAACGCAUCUUGCGCUCAAUGGUAUUCCAUUGAGCACGCCUGUUUCAGUAUCAACAACAACCCACAUCCACAAUUUUGUUGUGAAUGGGAAUGAAAGUAUCCACGUUUAAAUUGAACUCUUUUAAACUAUUAGGCCCGGAACUAAUGGUUCUAUUAACCCUGAACAUUUUUUUUAAUAUAAAAGGAAUGCUCUAGUUUAAAAAACUAUCUUGGGGGGCCUCCCCAAAAAAAUCACUUUUUUAACUUGGAUCUGAAAUCAGGGGGGGAUUACCCCCUGAACUUAAGCCUUAUCAAUAAACCGGAGGGAAAAGAAAAUAACC
rnacentral:rRNA from 1 species